AAUACCUCUCCCUUUCACUUCACUCUAAGUACUCUUAACAAUAUCUUGAAAUAUAGUUUCUGGUUUUGUUUCCAGUCAAGUCAUAUUAUUGAGGACUGCAGGGUGGGAGAUGUAACAAUGGCCUUGAGAACAGCAGGAAGUGUGUUGGUGGUCUUUCUCUGGUCUGUAGCAGUGGUACUGGGUCAGGAUGGCUGGAGUGUGACAUACACCACUCAGAGUAUCUGUACCUUGAAGGGGUCAUCAGUGGAUCUGUUCUGUUCAUAACAGAUCAGACUGGAGGGAAUUAUGCUGGUGAUCCUGGAGUUACUCUGUCUGUUACAGACCUGCAGGUGAAGGUGACCACUACAUGGUGGUCAAUGACACUGACCUGUAGCACCACCUGUACUCUGACUGGUAACCCCACCUACACCUGGUACAGGAACAGUAAGAUUGUACAAGAGGACUCCUCCCCCUCGUACACAUUCUACUUUAAAACUGAAGACAGCUUCUACUGUGCUGUAAAAGGCAUCAAUUCUCCUGCAGUGUGUGAGUGUGACUAAUACACUUUUUAAAGUCUUUCAAAAUCAUCCAAUCA
rnacentral:lncRNA from 1 species